GUUCUUAUAAUUUAAAUAAAAUAUUGAUCUUGUAAAUCAAAAAUAACUUCAUGUUUAAGACCA
rnacentral:tRNA from 1 species